UCCUAUUUUCUUCCGCGGUGUCAGGCGCAGCCUCCUGAGUCUCCUCCGACGAAAUUCUCCGGCGAGCCGUCGUGAUCCGCCCCGGCGAGCCUGCUGUGCCCCCACCUCACUUCUUUGUCCUGCGCCUCCUCCACCACGUGAAGCGUCAAGCCCCAGAGGGCCGCGCGCCGGCCGCGCCCGGAGGGCUGCUGCUGCCGCUCCGCGAAGGGCUGCCGCCGCCACGGCCCGGUGGUGGGGCACAGUCAACGUCGGGGCGAAAAUCGGGAGGUCGGAUUUUUCAAGAUUGGGGCGCGCUGUAGCAGUAGAUCGAGCGGCGGCGGCAGAUAUCCGGAGGGUGGAGAUGGGAUGCAUUCUUGGGAAGAGGAGGAGGCAGAGGCCGAAGGGGAAGAUCGCCGCUGGAAGGUCCUCUUCCACCAUCCUCUGGUGCGGUGCCAUCAAGGCUGUCCUCCACAGGAAUGAGCUCGGCAAGGGUAGCUAUCGCCUCCUUCCUCAGACUGUCGCCCUCCAUGAGCAUAUCGCCGCACUCUGCUCGAAAUCCGCCUCAAGGUAUGUCCCGAAGAUCACCCAGAUCAGAGCCGGAGCGAUCAUUCCAACAAGUUACUCGGUUCUCCUCCGUUGUUUCUCGGCCUGCUUGCUGUUUGCUUCUUUUCCCUAUACUGAUUUGUUGAUGUUACUUGUGGUCCGACGUCCGAGCGAUGUACCUCGGGGUCAAGUCGGCAAGAGCGCCGCCUGCAGGAGUGGUGUAUGUCGGGUUGACGUACCGCCGGGGUUGAGGGGCUGCCCGAGGUGGUUGACUUGGAAGGAGAAAGGAGCAAUGGUUUGCGGCUUAAGUCAUGGCGAGCAGGGCAUGGAGUACGUUGUAGCCCCCUGAAUUCUAACUCAGUUAGGAUUUAUCAGAAGUGGAUGCAGUUCAGCAGGGGCUUGGAGUCCCACAAGCAGGGUCUCGAAACGGUCCAGAGAGGAUUGAGCAAUGACGACAGCCAAAAAGAUAUAGUACGAGCCUAUUCAUGGAAGAGAACAAUAGACAGGGAAGGUCCAAUUGGAGGCAGUUACAAAAUUGCAAUCACAAUUUCAAGAGGAAGGUUAAGGUAUCUUUUUUCUUGCUAGAUAAAUGGUUGGCUCUGCAUUUAAUUAGGAAGGUGAUUGAGUAAAGCUGUGCCUCGAAGGUUUAGUUUUAGCACUUCGCAUAGUAUUCUGCGUUGAGGUAAUUUUGGUUCAUGUGAACUGCUGGAGUUCAGCCAAUGGACUAUUAGCAAACUUCUGAAUGUGGCUGGCCUCCAACGAGAUUUUACUUCUACAUCUUACAUAAUGAACUGGAUCUCAAGAGAUGGAGGUGUAUGCCUUCUUCUGGCAAGUAUUUCUUUAUCUCUACAUACAUUUUAUGUGCAGUGGUUCUUAUACAAAUGUUCAGAGGCGACACAAAUAUAGAGGGCUAUCCAUCUUUAGAGGAAAAAAACAUCUUUUUGAGACAUAGACGGAUUGAUUCCGUAUGCAUGUAUAUUUUACCGGGAUGUUCCUAUUUUGAUUACUAUUUCAAUGCAUCUCCAUCUCUCAAUUGAUAUGUGUUGAGUAACGACCUGCCAGCCCGCAUACUGAGUUUAUCAUUAAUGCUAUUCUAAUCGCUUCAGUUUAUAACCAGAUAUGAGUCGUCCCUGUUAAACAAAUAUCUGCAAUAAGUGCCAUUUUGAACUCUCCUACUGCAUCCAUGUGAUGGCAGGAAGUAGAUCCAUGGUCCUGAAUGUGCUUAUUCCUUAAUGGCCAUACACCAAAAUUCUCCGAUUUGGUUAUUUUAGCUUCCUUUUUCAACAAUAAGGUUCUUUUAUCUUUCUCAAUUGUGAUUCAUUGCAAUACAUGGGACUGUGCAAUUUUCCAGCAUAUAUUAUUUUUCUCUUUGUACCCAUUGAAUACCAGAGAAUUACUUUCUGGAGGGUUUCUUCCAAAUUGAUUGAUAAAAAUUUCACAUUAAGAACUCAUUGACCUAUUUUUCUGAACAUUGAAUUGUUAUCAUCUUUCCACUGAAGUUUUGAGGCUUAUAGAUAUUUCUCUUGCAGGUUUGUCUUAUUCACGUUCACCAUUCAUUGGUAAUUUUCAGUUAAAGAUUUUUCAUCUACAUCUCAGUCCGGCCUUAGUCACAUGAACAAAAGCAUUGUCAUUAGUUUUUUUUCUUACUAAACGCAGCUUGGGAUCUGCUCAAACAGGUUGGUCAGUAUUAUAUAAAGGCACAAGCUAUUCCGAGUCUAAUUCUUCAUACCAAUAGUGCAGAAAUAUCUGCCAAGAAAUAAUUCCUAGGAAAAGCUACAGAAAUAGCUAUGUGAGAAAACGAUGGGUAUUUACUGCUCCCUAUCAAUCCAUUAUACAUCAUAUAAAGAUUGCUAUGUUAAUAACCUGAUUACAUGUCCUUACUGGAACAGAACAGGGAUGUAUUACUGCAAAUAUUAACUAACUUGUUCAUGAUUUAGAGUAUUCUAUAUAACUAAUAAAACUAUGAUUGCUUUACCACUACAAUAUCCUGCAGAUGAGCUCUUGAUUAUUCUGCCAAAUCUCUCAGGAGUCAAGAGUAUGUGUAUAGAUGAUUAAAUGCGUCGACUGCUAUGAAACCAUGUAGCCAAAUCUGGUACAUCUCUUUGCAUCUAACAAAAACUCGGGACUUCCUAUUGGCUUGAGUGAAUACAUGCAUCCUAAACUGCAUACUUGCUUGACUGAGUUAACGCGUGCAUCUACAGAUCUGAAUCAUGACUAGCAUGAAUCACAAGCAGUUCCUAAAGAUUUAGAUUUGAGGUAGCCAUUUUUUCUGAUUCUUCAUCUAUUUGUUCCUUUUGUGAUACAGUCCUUCCUGUUUUUUUCUUUCAGAUCUAAUUCCUGCAACUUCACUGGCACAUAAACCAUUUGAUGGAUUACUGAAAGAUGCACGAGUGGUGGUUUCGGUUUUCCAGGGUCCUACAGUGAUAGCAUGCACAUAAAGUAUCUUUCAAAAUGGCAAACUUCGAAAUGCACACAUCUGCAACAAUUCAACCAACUAUACAGAGUCAAAUUUAUUCGAUUGUUCGAGGAAUUAAGGCAACCUGUUUAUGUGUCAAGAUGUCUUCGUUUUUUUUUGGUCUCAGAUAAUCAACUUAAGGCGUUCGAAAUAGUGAAUAGAUUUCCUUACUAUUAAAUUAAGAAUUAAUCUUUCAAAAAAAUCAAUUUCUUACAGAUACUCAACAGAUUUGGUGUAUUGCAUGCCGCUUCUAUGGAUGUUAAUUUGCUAGCUACAAUCAGGUAUGGUUAAUCAAAAAAGUUGCGGGUAUUGGCUAAGCAAUUUAAAAAGGUUUAUCAGUGAGUGGAGGCUUCUGACUCUCUCUCUAUAUAUAUAACAGAAAACGUCUCCCUGUUCGAACCGUCAGUUAGUGAUUGAAAAGUGGAAACAUAAAACUCAAAUAUGUCGAGCUGCAUAAAUAUUGUUCUUCUCGGUGGUGCAUACAUUUUGGUGUACAUAUAUUUUUAGCUAUGUUGCUUAACAUCUGGGGUUUUCUUCAUUGACGCAUUUUUACUUGCAUGUCUAAUAUGUUUCUUUUUAGAUGGUACAAGUGUGACAUUGAACUGUGCUUUUGUCAUUCACAAUGACUCGAAUGUGAUUCUACACAUACAGAUAAUAACAUCAUUUCUUUUGCUGGUGUUUGAGUUUCAUGUUGCAUGUCCAACUGUAGCAUUCAAGGCUAAAAUGUAAUAUACUAAUCAAGAACUAUUAGGUUUAGUUUUCUAACUAAAGAUGUUACACAUAAUUAUAUUUUGCAGGUGAAUCCAACAGGCGAUGUAGCAAUUUAAGGACAGCCUGGUCGAAAGGCUUUGUCGCCAUCAUUGUUUAAAUGGCUAAUUAGUGAGUACUUUCUCGGCAAUGGAUCAAGAUGAUGUAGCUUCAUGCGAGAACAUUUUUAUUUUCCUUCCUAUCACUUCUAAGAGAUUGCCGAUCCAUGUUUUUUUGAAUGAGAAGUUCCAUAGUUUGCUUUAAUGUGUAGUAACGUUACACUUAUGUGAAAUCACACCGUCAGUUAAAAUCUAUAUGUUAUUCUUAUUUCUCCUUGA